UAACAAAGGUCCUUCUGCUCAGUGUUGCUCAAGCCAACAGAACAAGACUGAGUUCUUCUGCUCAAGGUUUUAGUCUUUGAUCAAAGAAUGAAGAGGUGUGAGUGUGGCCUCUAAAGCUCACGCUCUCCCAGAGAGACUGUAGUGGGGGCUGCUUUAUAGGGAUCUCGCCAGCACAGAGUGGGUGGAGGGAGUGUGGUAUCAGGCGCAGCUGUGCUGCUCGGGCUCUAGAUUGCGGAGCCGAGAGCAUUGCCUCUGCACACGGCUCUCCACUGCCAUCUUGAACUGAAUGUCCCGGGCAGCUUUUCUGCACACAGCCCUGGAGCUGAGAUGUUGGCACAGUCCUGUUAUAAACGGGAACUCCAGGCCGAAGGGCCAAGUGCGAGGCCUCUGGACUUGGCACCCUAAGAGCAAAGGGACCUACAUGACGCACAAAGGAAAAGGUGCAGUGAUUGGCUACUGUGAAUUUAGUGACUGGCAUAUGAUAUGGAGGCCAAACCGGGCUCAAGAGUGACUGAAAACAAACCCGGAGGGAAGGACACUGCAGAAGCCCGCCAGACUCCUCGCUCCAUGGAAUUUUCCAGGCUAGAAUAUUGGAGUGGGUUGCCAUUUCCUACUGCAGGGGAUCUUCCCGACCCAGGGAUUGAACCUGCGUCUCCUGUGUCUCCUGCAUUGGCAGGCAGAUUCUUUACCACUGAGCCACCAUCACAACGUGUAUAUAUACACACAGAAACAGCAUUGCAAUUACUGGAAACUUGCUCUCCCAGCAGCCUGCCUCCAGGACCAGAGGGUCCUGCUGAUGUUCCAAGGAGGUGGGGGAAGACGGGCCAGAGAAGCACCUCCUUCUCUGCUGUCCUCCAGGAGUGAGCUGGCUGAUUGCUUCAUUCUAAGUGGCUCCUAUGUGUGCGACUUAGUCAUCUCUCAUCAGAUAUACACCACAACCUUGUCUGGUGAUUGCCCGCAUUUGCUGGUUUCAAGCUUUUUUCUCAGUAGUUUUGGGUGUAAAUGCUAUAGUGUGUAUACCAGGAAAGCCAUCCAGAUGUGGUUCUAACUCAGGAAUGCUGGAUUUACCCCUGGGGUCAAAAGAAGAACAGAAUCUAAUUUUUAUUGAAUUAAAAUUAAAAUAUUGAAUUAAAAUGUUAUUG
ensembl:lncRNA